CAAUGGGGGAACCCUGAUGCAGCGACGCCGCGUGGAGGAAGAAGGUCUUCCGAUUGUAAACUCCUGUUGUUGGGGAAGAUAAUGACGGUACCCAACAAGGAAGUGACGGCUAACUACGUGCCAGCAGCCGCGGUAAAACGUAGGUCACAAGCGUUGUCCGGAAUUACUGGGUGUAAAGGGAGCGCAGGCGGGAAGACAAGUUGGAAGUGAAAUCUAUGGGCUCAACCCAUAAACUGCUUUCAAAACUGUUUUUCUUGAGUAGUGCAGAGGUAGGCGGAAUUCCCGGUGUAGCGGUGGAAUGCGUAGAUAUCGGGAGGAACACCAGUGGCGAAGGCGGCCUACUGGGCACCAACUGACGCUGAGGCUCGAAAGUGUGGGUAUCAAACAGGAUUAGAUACCCUGGUAGUCCAAGGGCGAAUUC
rnacentral:rRNA from 1 species